UACGAACUGUGCGAACGUUAUUCGGAAUCACUGGGCUUACAGGGUGCGUAGGCGGCUAUUCAGGUCAGGUGUGAAAGCCCCCGGCUCAACCGGGGAACUGCGCUUGAAACCGAGUGGCUCGAGUCAGCUAGAGGUACACGGAACUUCCAGUGGAGCGGUGAAAUGUGUUGAUAUUGGAAGGAACACCGGAGGCGAAAGCGGUGUACUGGGGCUGGUCUGACGCUGAGGCACGAAAGCCAGGGGAGCGAACGGG
rnacentral:rRNA from 1 species